GAAAAUCGUAGAAACUACAAUAUUCAUAACAGCAUUUAGAAUAUUUUAUAUAUUUAUAUUUUAAUACUAUUUUUCACUAGGAUGAGAAUACUGAAUAGUGAAGUAAAUUAGGAAGUUUCCCGGUUGUAAUAUUAUGUGAUGUAUUUAUUAGUUAACCUAUAACACGAACAAUCCUAUCUUUUCAUCGUAUCAUGAGUUCAUGGAAGACCAAGAGAAGUAUUAAACUAACAUGGUAAUUUAGCUUUUGAAACAGCCUUGACAAGAGGAUCAUAAAUGAGAGCAGCAACGAGAAAAUCUUGAAAACUAUGAAAUAUACAUAUUGCAUCAUUAGACAUGUUUACUAGGUAAUCUCUAACAGCAGACAGUCCCAUAUUUAUCUCAUUUCCA
rnacentral:misc_RNA from 1 species